AUUGAACGCUGGCGGCAGGCCUAACACAUGCAAGUCGAACGAGUGGCGGACGGGUGAGUAAUGUCUGGGAAACUGCCCGAUGGAGGGGGAUGACUACAGGAAACGGUAGCUAAUACCGCAUACCAUCGGAUGUGCCCAGAUGGGAAUAGCUAGUAGGUGGGGUAACGGCUCACCUCGGCGACGAUCCCUAGCGGGGCUGAGAGGUUGACCAGCCACACUGUAACGGCGCCACAGGCCAGACUCCUACGGGAGGCAGCAGUGGGUAAUAUUGCACAAUGGGCGCAAUCUUGAUGCAGCCAUGCCGCGUGUAUGAAGAAGGCCUUCGGGUUGUAAAGUACUUUCAGCGAGGAGGCGUUACUCGCAGAAGAAGCAGCGGCUAACUCCGUGACAGCAGCCGCGGUAAUAC
rnacentral:rRNA from 1 species